rnacentral:rRNA from 1 species
UACAGAGGUGGCAAGCGUUGUUCGGAAUUACUGGGCGUAAAGGGCGCGUAGGUGGCCUUUUCAGUCAGACGUGAAAUCCCCAGGCUUAACCUGGGAACCGCGUCUGAUACUGGAUGGCUGGAGAUUGGGAGAGGGAUGCGGAAUUCCAGGUGUAGCGGUGAAAUGCGUAGAUAUCUGGAGGAACACCGGUGGCGAAGGCGGCAUCCUGGACCAACACUGACGCUGAGGAGCGAAAGCCAGGGGAGCAAACGGG